GGGGAUGAUCGGUUUCGACAUUGCUCGCGAAACUGCGUGAAGCGGGUAGAGGACGCGGGGUUAUCUCUUAAACGCCCCUCGCAACCAAUAAGUGCCAAUAACAAGCGCACUGACUUCGCCCUCGCUGCCUAAGCACCGAGCCUCGAGUCCGUCAACCUAGGUUUGCGUUCGACCUAGAUCUUGGCGUCAUUUUGAACGAUUGCUGCGUAGUUGCGUCACAGGGCUACGUGGGACUUUAACUUUGACUGGGUUUGUCGGUCAGGCUGUUCGCCGCUACGACCGGAACCGAGUAACACAUCAGGCGAACUGCACCCGGAGAAGCCGCAGGCUCACAGCGAUGGACGGGGGUUCAAUUCCCCCCAUCUCCACGA
rnacentral:tmRNA from 1 species